AUACGGGAUGAAGGGGCAUCUCAUAGCAAAUGGAUGAAGGCCUCUCUCCUCUGGGACAAAGCCAGUGCCAACCGCCUGACCAACUCAGCAGGAACCGCGGGCUGUGGGAGAUUGCAGCGCCUUCAGCGAUGGAGCAGCGCAGGAUGCUGGGCUCGGAUCCCAAAGCAAACCUGCGUGAACGGAAACGUGAGCUCCUCAGCACACGCAGCGUAGUUUACUCAGCCAGGCUGGUUGUACGUGUGAGUGGACGGACGCUUCGAAGGAGGUGGAAGCUCUGCAGCUCUGACAGAUGGCCCAGGAACCCUUACUGUCGUAAUCAAAGCUAUGACACUUCAUCGCUGGCAAUCUGUCAGGCUUCCCCAGCCUCCUUUCUGAUCUUCGCCUCAGCGAGCAGCUUUCUACCUCAGAGUCUUUUGAAGAUUGAAAAGGCAAAGAAGUUCUCUGCCUUUGCUCCUGCCUCCACCUGCCCUCAGCACGCAGCCAGGAGAUGAGGGGCACUCAGGAGCACGAUGGGAGCCCUUCGUAUCUCCUCAGCUCCUGACCUUCCAGCUCUGCAGAGACAUUUCAUAUCUCAGUGACAGCCUGCGGCCCCCACAGCCCCCCCGAUUCAGCCCGAAGGCCCACUGCCUCUCUUCCCCCCCACGCACACAGAUGGGCGCGCUGGGCACCAGCACUGCUGUCCCAACAGCGGAUUCAUCGCCCGGCCCGCAAUUGGUCUGUCAGCACCGCGUGUUUAUUUUGAGAGUGCCGGCCCGGGCGCUCGGUGGUUUCCACAGGAGGAAGAAAUGUUUCCCGAGGAGGGCCCUGGCACGCGCUGCCCCGAGGAGCGGCGCACACCCAUGUGUGGAAUCAGACUCUGUGACCACAAAGCAGUUAUAAAAGCAGGCAUGUUUAAUCAGGGCUGCGACGCCGGGUGCAAGGGGGAGAGCUGCUCCUAAGUGGCACAGCGUCAGGAAGAAGCGUGCUGAGCUCGAGGCCGAACUGAGAGGUGAUCAGUAGUUUCCAGGGAUUGGGAUCCACGUUCCUUACAUUCCGAGAAGCCAUCAGCACGCGGCCCCCCCUCGCGCGUGCACAGUGAGCGGUGAGGGUCUCCUCCUGGUGGUCGUGGGAUGAAGAAUCCUCAUCUUCCUCGCGAAGGCUCGCAGUCUUUCUCCCUGUUCGCUUUGGACCCUGCGGGAGGGGCAGCCCCCCCAGCCCCGUUUCAGCUCGCCCUGCGGACAUCGAAUCGCCUCACUGCCCGGCGUCCUCAGGCCGUUCUCAAACCCUUCUGGUUACGGCCUUCAGCCCCUCGUUAUCCCAGACCCAGUGUCUGCCAUCCCUUAUUUUUCUAACAUUCUUGCUUCUAUAAACUAACAACCCCUCCCUUUCCCCCUCCCCCAGUCGUACGUCCCCAUGAAACCUUUUCCUCACGUUUUUACUACGGGGCCCUUCUCACUCUCCAGCACCGGCCCGCACAGCCGUACCGCACAAGCGCGCAGCAGGCGCGGGCUGCUGCCUCCUGCACGCCCCGCCCCCGCCUCUCCUAUUGGCCGGCCGUGCCCGUUCGGUCAUCUCGUUGGCUGGCGCCGCCGCCUGUUAUAUGCACGGCCCGCCUCCGCGCCUUCUUCCGGGAGUGUCCCGUCCGCCCCUUCGUGUCUGCGGAGCCAAUUGGCUGCCCUGAUUGUCACUUACAGCUUGGGCGGAGGGCCGAUUGGACGAACGAGGUCAGGCGGGUUGCCCGCUCUGCGCGUGCGCGGUCCGAGCGAGGGCGGGUCCGGGUAACGGGCGCGCGGAGUCGUGACGUCACUGGACGCGACGCGCAGCGGCCGGGGUGAGCGUCACGUGAUCCGGGGAGCCGGCGGUUCGGGGCCGAGGAAACGCGGCUGCUCGCGGUGCUGGGCGGUGGGACUGGCGCGUUCUUGGGGCGCGGGGGUCGCGUAGGGCUGGGAAGGGAAUCCGAGGCGUCCUCCUGGAGCUGCGGGUGCCGGGCCGCGUUCUGGGGCCCCGUGGGGC
ensembl:lncRNA